GGAUAGCUCAGUUGGUUAGAGCGUGGUGCUGAUAAUGCCAAGGUUGCAGGUUCAAUCCUGUAUGGUGGCAGCU